GACGGAGGAUGCAAGCGUUAUCCGGAAUGAUUGGGCGUAAAGCGUCCGCAGGUGGCAGUUCAAGUCUGCUGUCAAAGACCGGGGCUUAACUUCGGAAAGGCAGUGGAAACUGAACAGCUAGAGUAUGGUAGGGGCAGAGGGAAUUCCUGGUGUAGCGGUGAAAUGCGUAGAGAUCAGGAAGAACAUCGGUGGCGAAGGCGCUCUGCUGGACCAUAACUGACACUCAGGGACGAAAGCUAGGGGAGCAAACGGG
rnacentral:rRNA from 1 species